ensembl:lncRNA
UAUAAACCUAGGAUAGGGGGGAUUUGGUGGGAUGUACAGAGCUGCUGGGGCAAGACACUCUCUCCUGUUUGCAGUGCAGCAUCACUGGUUUCAUCUUCUGAGUCAGACUCAAUCUGGGAUGUGGAGCUGUGUGACGAAGAGUUCCUGGGGGAAGAGCAUUCUGGAGAACACAAAUAAUGCACCAGCGGGACGUCAUACCUCCCACAGAAGUCCACAGUCACAAUUUAUCUGGCAAAGCAGUCAAAAUACACUCUCCUAUAUUUGCGCUUCUGCAAUUGCUGGCUGCACCCAAGUAUCUUAACAGAUUCCCAGGAAGAUAAGAGAAUCCCAGGACUUGAGAAACAGAAGUUGUCAGGUGUCUGUGGUUUGCUGAUCACCCAACUGAAAUAACGAGGUGAAUUCCUUUUACUGAAAACAGUGACUCAGAAUUUGGUUCAUAGGCACAAUUGCACCAUGAGGAUAUCUAGAUGGAUCACAAUGAUAAUAUGGGAAAAAACAGAAGCCUCAGUGACUUUUUUUCAACUGACAUAGAUUCUUCCUUCAAGUAGUCAGGAGGAAGUGUGAAACUCAAUUGAUGAAUUGUCUCCAUCCUACUCUGCUGUCAUCAUAUUGUACUGUCCUGAAUUUGGUUGGUUAAAGUUUGAAGUCAGAAGCCCAUUGUGGGAAAUCUCACUCCUGGGGAAGUCUUCGAAGUUUCUAUAAGAAAUCAAGAUAAAUGAGCCAUGGUGAAUAAGCCAAUUGAAAAAAAUCAGGGUUGAUCAAGGAAAAUCCCCUGCAACACCCCUGAUGGUAGUGGAUGGUUCAAAUGAUUCAACAACUCAGAGAGCAUGUGUUUCAGUUUCCUCUGAGUUAUACAUGCAGAAUAACUUCAAGCUAGUGAGGAGAAGACUUAGAAACAGAAUUCGCGAAAACGCUUCCUGGUCAUUACCGACUUUGAAAAUCCACAUUAAAGCUAAAGACUUAAUGCAGUCCCUUCUCCCUCGACCCCUAAAAAGGACCCGGAACAGGAAGUGCGUCACAAUCCCAUUCUGGGGACGGACCAGGCUGCCUAGGAAACUACAGGAACCAAAGAUUCUCUUUGUUGGCGAUUUCCUUCAGAACAGCAAUCACAGUCGCACUUCCUGGCUGCAGCUGAAUAGCUUUGAGCGUUGGUUUAAUUCUUUAAAUGAAAGCUUCUCUUUAUUUGCGAUUUUACCCUAUCAGCAAACACAGUCGCACUUCCACGUUGGGGAGAGUAGCUUUGAGAACGAAAUUUCACUUUUUAAAAAAUCUCUUCAUUUGCGAUUUCCCCUGACUACCAGAGUCGCACAUCCAGGUUGCAGAAGAGUGACAUGAAAGCAGGAUUUCUUCGCUUAACUGAAGGUUUCUCUUUGUUUGCGAUUUUUACGGAGCAGCACACGCAGGUGGCAGGAGAGUGACACUAAACCUUCCACAGCACUUGUGUGAAAUUUGGCUGCAUUAAAUCAAUCAUGUGUGACAAACAUGUUCAAAGCAGUAACAAAUCACUCUUUAUGAGAUAAGGAAAGAUCUUUAGCAUCCAUCUUCAGCCUAUAUGCCCAGGACAUAUGGCACAUUUUUUUAUGAAGAAGGAACUUGAAGGAUCACCCUUUCCAUUGGCAACUUCAGCAGUCACUCUUCUUUGUAACCUGCCUGUCGAGUUUGGACAGCAUUGUGUCAAGCAUUCAAGGAAAGAAGUUUCUUGUACAAAUGGCUGGUCCUGCCAUGUGAAAGGUGACAUCACUCCAGGCUGAUUCUGACGGCUCCCCAAUGUCUACCAUUCUGCUAGAUUUUCAUGAAACACUUAAUUGAAAAUUGUGACCAACCACAGUUUUGGACUGCCAUUCAGAAUAAAUUCUACUCAAAAUCUAUACAGGGAACUGGACAUGACCAUGAUGAACAUAUAUAUGAAAUAUAAAUCCUUUGACAACAUUGCAACUCUUACAUGGACAUUCAAGAUGAAACCACUAAGAUUUCCAAACAUCUUCAAGCUCAACUUUCUUUUUUAAUCACCUUUGGUGAGUUUAAGUAUUUUUCUACACCCACUGCUGUUAUCCACGAAGAUCAUUAAGCAUUCUGUAUGCAGGAUUCCAGGCUUCAUCUUCUGAGUCAGAUGCCAUCUGAGAUGUGGAGCUGUGUGAGGCAGAGAUGCAAGGGGAAGAGCAUUCUGGAGAACACAAACAAUGCCUCGGGGAUGUGAUACUUCCAACAGAAAUCCACAGACUUAAUUUGUCUGAAAGAGCAGUCAAAAUACACUCCUCCAUACUUGGGGUUUGGGCAAUUGCUGGCUAAACACAAACAUCUAAGGAGCUUCCCAGGAAGAUCAUGGGGAGUGUAAGAAAUACUUCUGGAUCUUAAUGAUCCUUGCAGGUAUUGCCAGAAGAACUGGAGAGUCAAAUGUUAAAUCUUGACCAAAGGAAACAAAAAACAAUGUAUUUCAUAAAAAACAACUCUUCCUGAUGUGUAAGUCUGAGGAUCUCUAGAGGCAGACAUGUCAGCAAGUUAUUGAGGGAAUGCUCUGCAGCUGGUUUCCUCCCAGGUUCUGGUUGCCUCCCAUGUUAAGGGUCUACAGGGCUCCCAGCUCCAACAGCUAGGCAGGCCCUUAAUGGAAGCAGAUGGCUGUGAGGUAGCGAACCUGUAAUAUGUUAUGUAGUUGCACAUGGACAGGUCAUAGAGCAGCAUUCCUGGAUUUCAGAUCUCUAUGUCCAUCAGAAUGCUGGGGCUGCUCUGAUGGGACAGCUCCAAUCCCAGAGUCAUGUGCUCAUUCCUGGUCAAGUCCUGUAGCUGAAGGUUCAGAAAGACACUGCACAGCGCCCAGGCAGCAUGUCAGAAUGUUGUAGGCCAGCAGCAUCCACAGAAACAACAAACUUGAGCCCUGUUACCCCUCAGGCCUCCCUUCCACCUUCGACUCCUGCUCCCUUCCACCUCAGACUCCAGAGUGUAGGCUAACAUGCUGAGAAGGGAGCAGCUGAGUUCAGCUUCUCUGCAUGUGGCCUCACCCAUAGGCAGUAAUCCCAGGCUCUUCCAGUUGACACCAUGGAACGCUCUGCAACAGGAAGUGAGCUCUGUUUAGGACGUGGUGCCAGUUGGUGGGGGGAAGUAGCGUCGUGGGGGCGAGGAAAGACUACGUUCUGUAGCUAGCUGACCACUUUUCUGUAACAUUUAGGAUAAAUGUGAACUUCUAUCUUCUAUUGCAUUGAAAAUCGAUGUCGAGACAUUCUGUAAUAUAGAUCGAAUAUAGCUGAGAUCCUUGACAGAUGAUUAAUUCAUGUGUGAGAUGGAGUAUGUGGGAGAGCCCUUGUGCCUGUCAUUUUCCUCUGCAUGUUUUAGGAUCACAGACAGGAUUCCCACAGACACCUUUUUGGUUCCUCAGAUUUCAGUGCAGGAUACAGAAACGUUAAGUUGAAUCUUCAGAGGGAACCCAAAGCAUAGAUUCAGAAAUGUAACAGAGGAAAACUGGAGUUUUUCAAACUGUUUGUUGCAGUGUGUUCCUUGAGUUAUAGGAAAGUGAUUGUAUUUUAAAUAAAGUAAAAAUUUUCAUCACUUGGUAAUGGGUCAUUCAGUAACAGACUUAUACUGCAUGUGUGAAAUACUGUUUUUUCUCUCUCAAGUAAGCAUGGAAGUCAUUAAAAUUAUGUGGUAAGCAAGACCAGAACUUGAGAAGAAGAAAUUGUCAGACCUCUGAGUUUGCUGACAAUCUAGCUGAAAACAGUGUCUCACUUAAGUUCAGGAGUAGCAAUAAUUUGUAUUGCGAGAGUGCUGACAUUCUUGCUAUAUUUCAUUUCCAAGAGGAGCUUUAAAAGGCUGUCCUCUUCAGAUAAGUUUCCAAUAACAAACUAGUAGUGUUUCAAUGAAUUUCAAACUAAGAAACAAAUGGGUUUAUUGGUUGCCCUUAAGAUCAGAGGUGACAUGUUCUCUCUCCCAACAUGCCACACCCAGAGAGACUUUACCCAAAAGAAAUGAGGGGAUAACAGAAAGUAGGAGUUGUCAUAGCUGCAUAAACAUACCCCGUGCUAUAGUAUACCAAGAAACACAC